rnacentral:rRNA from 1 species
AGGACGAACGCUUGCGACGUGCCUAAGAAAUGCAAGUCGAACGGACUAGCAGCAAUGUUGGUUAGUGGCGAACGGUCGCGUAACACGUGGGCAACCUGCCCUGAAGCGGGGGACAACAACUCGAAAGAGUUGCUAAUACCGCAUGUGUAUCGGAAUGGCAUCAUUCAGGAUACAAAGGACUUCGGUUCACUUCAGGAUGGGCCCGCGGCCUAUCAGCUAGUUGGUGAGGUAAUGGCCCACCAAGGCUUCGACGGGUAGCUGGUCUGAGAGGACGAUCAGCCGGAUUGGGACUGAGAUACGGCCCAGACUCCUACGGGGGGCAGGCAAUUAGGAAUCUUGCGCAAUGGGCGAAAGCCUGACGGAGCAAGACCGCGUGAGGGAGGAAGGCUCUUGGGUUGUAAGCCUCUUUUCUUGGGGAAGAACAAAUGACGGUACCCAAGGAAUCAGCAUCGGCUAACUCCGUGCCAGCAGCCGC